rnacentral:rRNA from 1 species
GGAAGGAUCAUUAUCGAAUCGUCAAACACGGGUUGUUGCUGGCCCCCAGACGGGGCAUGUGCACGCUCUGUUUACACAUCCACUCACCCCUGUGCACCCUUUGCGGUUCUGCGGUUGGAAGACCCCGUCUUCCUUCUGUGGCUCUGCGUCUUUACACACACGCCGUAGUGAUGUCUCAUGGAAUGCUUUCGCGUUUAACGCAAUACAAUACAACUUUCAGCAACGGAUCUCUUGGCUCUCGCAUCGAUGAAGAACGCAGCGAAAUGCGAUAAGUAAUGUGAAUUGCAGAAUUCAGUGAAUCAUCGAAUCUUUGAACGCACCUUGCGCCCCUUGGUUAUUCCUCGGGGCAUGCCUGUUUGAGUAUCAUGAACACCUCAACUCUCACGGUCUUCCAUGAUGAGCUUGGACUUUGGGGGUUUGCUGGCCCUGCAGCCGGCUCCUCUCAAAUGAAUCAGCUUGCCAGUGUUUGGUGACGUCACGAGUGUGAUAACUAUCUACGCUUGCGGUCGUCUGCCAGGUAACCCUCAGCGAUGAAGGUUCAUUGGGGCUCAUAAACGUCUCUCCCUAGCGAGGACAGCUUUUGAAUGUUCGAUCUCAGAUCAGGUAGGACUACCCGCUGAACUUAAGCAUAUCAAUAAGCGGAGGAAAAGAAACUAACAAGGAUUCCCCUAGUAACUGC